rnacentral:rRNA from 1 species
GACGAACGCUGGCGGCGUGCCUAAUACAUGCAAGUAGGACGCAGUUGCGAACGGGUGAGUAACGCGUAGGUAACUGCCUAUUAGAGGGGGAUAACUAUUGGAAACGAUAGCUAAUACCGCAUACUAGUAGAUGGACCUGCGUUGUAUUAGGUAGUAGGUAGGGUAAUGGCCUACCUAGGCGAAGAUACAUAGCCGACCCGAGAAGGGGAUAGAGCAAAAAGGGAAUGGGGACACGCCCAGACUCCUGAUGGAGGCCGCAGUAGGGGAACAUCGGAAAUGGGGGGAACCCUGACCGCGCAACGGCGGGGGAUAGAAGAAGGGUUUCGGUUCGUAAAGGUCUGUUGUUAAGGAAGCGGUACUUAACCAGAAAGGGACGGCUAAAUACGUGCCAGCAGCCGCGGUAAUAC